rnacentral:rRNA from 1 species
CACGCCGUAACGAUGGGUAUUAGUCAUUUGGAUUUAAGACUGAGUGAUGUAACUAACGCGUUAAAUACCCCGCCUGGGUAGUAUAUAUGCAAAUAUGAAACUCAAAGAAACUGACGGGGACCUGAACAAGUGGUGGAGCAUGUUGCUUAAUUCGAUAAUACACGCAAAACCUUACCGAGGCUUGCAAUCCUCCGCAACGCUAUAUAAAUAUAGUUGAGGUUAUCGGAGUGACAGGUGGUGCAUGGCUGUCGUCAGCUCGUGUCUUGAGAUGUUUGGUUAAGUCCCGUAACGAGCGCAACCCUUCUUAUUAGUUGCUUAGUUCUAAUAAGACUGAAUCGUAAGAUCUAGGAAGGAUGGGGCCAAGUCAAGUCAUCAUGCCCCUUAUGCCUUGGGCUG